rnacentral:lncRNA from 1 species
AGUCAAGAUGGCUGCUUAACCAGCUGCAAAAGUUCAGAUCUAGGAAGAACCUUCCUUACCGAUUACAGACUGAAUGCUCCUAGGACACCGAAAUUCAAGCUGAGCAACAGGACAGAGGUGGGCAACCCUCCUUCUGGACUCAAAUCAAAAGAAUGUGGCCAGGAUGGACCAGGACCAUGUUAUUUUUCCUUUCCUUAUAUCCAUGGAACUUAACCUGAAUCAUUCUUGAACUAAGUGGAGGAGCUCAAAAACCACUUAGAGAAUUCACACCCUCAGAAACUCAAUCAGUCAGGAAUCUGUGAACCCUUUUGAUGAGAAUUUACCCCUCCAGAAGGCAAGAAGCAAAUCCCACAGAUACUGCCAGUGUCUAGGCAAUUUGGAAACUGUGAUUGGCCCCUGUGAAGAGGGGAAGAGACAAGAAGCCACCAUAAAAGGCCCUGAAUUUCUGGGGCUAAAGUCAGCUUCAAGAAGGAAGUGGGCUUCAAGAAGAAAGUCAUCUUUAAGAAGAAAAUUGACCUCAGGAGUAAUCUUCAGCUCAAGUCAUAGUCUUGACUUACCUCUUGGAGGGAACUUAGGUAUUUGGGGCUCAGUAUCCUGGUCUGUCUCCAUUGUGGUCUGAGGAGAGAGAUCUUCUAUUAAGCAUUUACCAGCAUACCCCUGCUAAAUGCCUUCCCAGCUUGAUAGAACCUGCCAGCUCUUGCAGUCGACUGAUUAUAAGAAACCAGGUUUGACUCAGACUAGUCUUAUAGCUCAGGUUUAAUAUGGGGACAAAAUGAAACAGCCAUUGGUCAUUUGCCUAUUUUGCAAAAUUGUACAAAAGGGCUAAGUCAAAAUAUAUAUUUAUUUAAAGAGUUGAGGAUAUAGUUUUCAUUGCUUAAAAGUAACUGAGAGAUCAAAUCAUCUAGUUCAAUGCCAAAAUUUGAGAGAUGAAGCCAAUAUGAAUCUCCAGAACAAAUAAAUAUAUGGUAAUAACUUGUCCA